rnacentral:rRNA from 1 species
UACGUAGGGUGCAAGCGUUAAUCGGAAUUACUGGGCGUAAAGCGUGCGCAGGCGGUUCUAUAAGACAGAUGUGAAAUCCCCGGGCUCAACCUGGGAACUGCAUUUGUGACUGUAGAGCUGGAGUACGGUAGAGGGGGAUGGAAUUCCGCGUGUAGCAGUGAAAUGCGUAGAUAUCAAGUGGAACACCAGUGGCGAAGGCGAGUCUCUGGACAUUUCCUGACGCUGAGGCACGAAAGCCAGGGGAGCAAACGGG